rnacentral:lncRNA from 1 species
AAAUCUCCACAUAAUUUAUCUCAGUACCUUGUUUGGUCGUCAGCUUGUAUUUCAGUCCCUCAGCAUCUCCGUUUCUAGUAAUGAAAUAACUUAAGGGUAUUACGGCCUGAAAAUGCAAAGAAAUCAUUGUUCACCUACCUUUUAUCAGUCAAGAUAAUGAGAAAAUUACUUCCUUCUUCUUUAUAAAAUGAGAAAACUAAAAACAUUUCUCACUGCUUAGAAAAAGUUUGCUUCUCCUAUUUUUCAUUUUAUCUCCCAAGAGUAAAACUUCCUUCAGUAUUUUACAACAGCAAAG